AUUGCUGCCAAAGGCAGCACUCCUAAUCUUGACAUGAAGGUUUCUCCAGAGUUCACUCGACCCAGUCUUUCGCGCCGAUCUAUGUAUUGUCGAGAUUUCGAUUUGUGUCUGUCCGUCCGUUAAGAUGUCGUAAUUCCGGGGGGGAACGGACGGGGGAAGUGCGAGAAAAAUAUUAAAUUGCGUGCACAUAAUAUGCAAACUUUUUAUUCUGGAUCUGCAAAAUAUACGAACAUUUCCCGAAGAAACCAGGUAAGUAUGGCUUUAUUUCUUUGUGCUAAUAUCCAUCAAGGCGAUAAACUGUUUAGCGUUCAUUCUGGAGGCAAGCAAUGUGCUUUUAUGAGUUUACGGCGCUUCUUACAGCCCGAAAUAAUUCCCAUUCGCAUUGUCCGCAUGGUCGUUUAUAGAACAUUUGAUAAUUUUAUGUCAUAUUCAAGGAGACAAAAUGUACUUAUAAGGAGUUCUGAAGUAAUAUAAUUCAUGAAAGUACCGGCAGUUUUAAUAGUAGCCCGCCUGAUCUAUUCGUCAAUAAUGCCUUUAUAUAUUUAUACAAGGAGUCUAAAUGCACUCAGUUUAUUUGUUUGUUUAAUAUAUGUGCCAAGACGAUGAGUAUUGUGUUCACUUCUAGAUGUUUAUAGUUUAACAACAAACGCGGAAUGUUGUUAAAUCAGGCUUACUGUAAUAAGAUUCCUAGAGCAAUCUAGUGUGGAUUGUUGUCUGCACUUUAAAUAUGGACUUACCAGCAAUUACAUGUAAUAGUAUGUCAACUGACUUUUGUAAAGAUAUGACUGUCUGUUUAUAUAUACAGUAUACAUCUUUGAGGCCUCUGAGAUUAUGUCCCUUGUUAGCAUAAUAUGAAAUAAUCCUACCGGCCUACAUUCAUAUAUUCAUCUGGCUGUGUCACUACAUUUCAGAGUGUAUUUAUAUUUUUCGAUAAUGCUCACAAUUAGAAAUGUCAACAAAUAGAUCUUGUCUCCCCAUCAGCAUAUUGUUCGGUUGUUCUGUAAUAUGGGCAGCCUUGAAGGUGGCAUUAAAACAAUAAUUAGAACAAAACCUGACUUAGUAUUUUCAUAUAAACAUUGUAAAGUAUUCAGUGGCAAGCUAGCCAUGGCAACUGGCCAUGCUAUGCUGAUAAACCUGCAUCUAUAAUUUUGAAUAAUGCAAAUCAUUAAAAACUUGCAUAGCAUGACCUGUUGCUAUGGCUAACUUCACCACUGACAGUAUUAUAAUUAUACAAAAGCAAGAAGUUAUAAGCAUUGAAGAUAUUCA